UCACUUUGUAUUCAGUUUUGGCACAGAAAAAAGAAGAAUAUUUUCUUCAGAUUACAAACAUUAAUUCAUGGGAAGCUUGCAUGUUGCAAAUAGUAGGUCAUAGACCCGAGUUGUAUCUCGUUGUAAUUUCAUAGGAGACUGUAGUAUAGUUGACUCUUUGUAGCAAAAUGUUGAGUCAAUUUCAAAAUUAAAUUCUAAGGAGCCAAUAUUUUCCUAUGAGUCUCAAUGGUCUCCCUUCAAGCUUUUGAUUCAUGGUGACACAGUUUUGAGGGCAGAAAGUUGCACUCAAUCAUAUGAAUGGUUUUUCUAGACGAUGAUAAUUAAUUAAUUAGAACUCAAUAAGGAUAAUAAACUAAUUAAGACUCAAGUGAGAUGGAUUAAAGGAUUUAAGUCAAAUUGGGCUCAAGUCACUAAAGCCCACAAAGAAGCCUCUCUUAGGGGUUUAGGGCUUCAGUUUUGUACUCUUCACUUUGCGAUUCCAGAGAGAAACCCUAACCCUCCCUUCUAGAGAGAAGACCACCUUUCUCUAGUGCCUGGGUCUGUGAGAGAGAGUCGAACGAAAGGUUGUUUGGUUUGCGAGAGGCUUGCGAUUCACUCUACACGACUUCAUUGAACUGGAAUAGAUUUGGGAACAUCUAAAUCAUUCUCUCUAGAUUUAUUUUAUUUAUGGUUUUAUUGUCAUGUUUUUCUACUACGAUUAGAUGUAAAGAGCC
rnacentral:lncRNA from 1 species